CCCGGUCGUCGUUUCCUCGCGCUCUAGUAACUCCAACUGGGAACCGCACUUCCAACUUGUCAACUUGCCCAGACCAUCAAAUGGCAACUCCAUUGUCGCGUAACCGAUCUCGACCGGCGGAAACCAGGCCCGAUCACAUUUAUUAUUUUUUAUCCGGAUACGUUCGACGGAGAUGGGUUAAGAGGAUAUGAAAGGCGCUAAGAAGUUGAAUCGACGUCGAUAAAGUGAAAUUCAUCUAUACCCUUUUUGGCGGUAAUGCCGUUUUGAAUACUCAAGUGGUAACGUAAGCAUCCCAUGUGACAACUGCAUAUAACUGUAUAAAUAUCGUAGUGGUACAAUUUCACCGACGGGACGAUAUCCCCUACCUUGCCCUAUACAAUAAACUCUCGUACAAAGCAGAGGAUACAUUUCGCAUUAGGGGUACAUGUCUUGUGAGCAUCAUGUGCAUACUCUCGAGCAUCGAACGAGCGCAAAGAACUAACCGGAGAAAUUGUUUUCCGGUUAAUAACCUAUCUCGGGAAUUAUGGCUGCCACGGAGCUUCCGGUCGAAUUAUCGAGCCAAUAGAGCGUGCACGGUGGCGAUUGCCAAGCGAAGUGAAGAAUCUGAAAGUCAGCCCGCUUAAUGAGACGGUUGCGCCGCACCGAGCACGCUUAUCGACUUGCCGCCCCUGUAUUACCGACUGGCCACCUGGCUAUUCCGGCAGUUCCGACACCAAACGCCGCCAAUCCAGGCUCAAGGUCACGGACCUCGUUCUCUCUAAUCUUGACACCUAUAGGCCUCUGUUACCGGUUAACUUGGUUAAGGUGAAGUGAAACACGUCGAGGAACACACAAGUUCAAUAUGUUCAAUAAUGUUUUUCAUAUUCUGACAAAUAUAGUUUAACGCAUUUGACUAAUUUGAAACAGAAACUGAUAUUUUUCUCGUAGAUUGCACGAUACGACGCGAUCGAUAGAUUUCUUCAAAUUGUUGAAAGAUUAUAUUUUUUUUCGUUUUUAUUUAUACAAUUAGAUGAGAACAAGAAGAGAAAAUGUCGGACAAGGAUCUUCAUUUUGUACGACGGAUUUAAAUCGACCCGUAAAUAAUCCCUUCGACUGUAUCUACAUUAUAUAAUUCCCUACCUACAUCUACAUUACAUGUAGUAAAUUAUAUAAGGCCGAUGAAUAAGCCGCUUGGUUGGCUGAUCUCCCACGCGUUUGCAUCUUUACAUUGUUGCAUCUUAUGCCCGCUAUGGCAUUUAAAAUGGCAGAUUACUAUCAGCGAAGUCUCGUUAUAUUCAUGCGCUUAUUCACUCGCCACUUCUCGAAGUAUGACUCACCUCUCUCUCAAGGAUUCUGUUCGGUGAAAUUUGUUAAGCCUUUUUUUCUUUUUUAUAAAACAGGUUUUACUGCCCCACAGUGCGGUAUUAAAAUAAACGGAGUAUGUAUACGUCACCAGAGGCCGUAUAUAAAAAAUCUAUUCAC